rnacentral:tRNA from 1 species
GGGCACUUAGCACAGGGGUAGCGCGUUCGCUUCGCACCGUCAUUUCGUCAUUUCGUCACUGUGUCAUGCGAGAGGUCGUGGGUUCAAAUCCCACAGUGUCCA